ACAGGACGAGAAAGACAUUAAAAAACAAACACAAAAACUGAUGUUAAAAUGUGUCACAGCAAAGAGCUUACGAAAAAAAAAAAAAACAUGGAAAAUUCAUCUUUCUCAUUACUGAUUCAGGCAGUACAGAACAGCAAGUGCUUCAUAUUGAACAUCGACCAAAGGACAGCAGUGCUGCAACAAAGAAAUAUUUUAGGGAGGAUAUGUUUCUCUGACCGGUUUAAAAACCUCAGCACGACCAUGUAGCCGAUACAGAACCAGCAGAUUAACUUCAGGCUAUGGUUUUAUACCGGUCAGUAAAACAUUAGACCCUUUAACAAAAGCUUCACAGACAAAUUAUGAGAAAUUUUCCCCGUGUUUGGCAAGAACAUACUACUCUAACCAGAUCUAAAACUGAACCCAGCAAGUGAAUACGUGUCCACACAUCUCACUCUAAACGCCUUCAGCCACAAUAUAGAAAAAGUAAACCCGCAAAAACAUCAACAAAACUUCAAAACAAAAGCCCGCUUUAGUCAGGAGAAAACAUUGAUUAGUAACAUGCAUUCAAUUGGCAACAGAACAUAUAACAGAUCAAACGACAGAUCCGAAUCCAAAUAAAUGGAAUGUUUACAGCAUCAAGUCAUUUAUCAAAUCGAGUAUGACAGGGAGAGAGGCUCCAGGCAGGGGUUUCCAGUCAAAUUCCCGUGGCAAAUAUAAGCAACGUUAACAUGAGGUGGACAGGCUUGGUGCGUUUUAUAGAGGGACGAAGGAAAUGGAAGAGAUCUGCAGUGCUUUUUCUGUACGUUUCAAUCUCACUCUAUGCUUGGUUUGGAACUAAAGCCACUGAUUCACUCAAUGUUGUGGACAAAACAAAACGUUCCUCAAGUUAAAGUUUUGGUCACAGUUGACACUGACAAUGAGAAUGUAAAAUGUGCUGCCAGGUUUAAAUGACGACCUCACCCUGCAUCUUUAUCAAAGUGUAAUUGACCAUUUUGUUCACACACACAUAGGAAUCAUACAAGUUAAAUGAUGGGUCUUUACCUCAGCUCACUACGUGUCAGAAGAGCACCAAGUUGACACAAAAGCAACUUAUAAGUAGAGCCUACAUUCUUUGAUACGAGUACUGUAUGUCAAGUUUCAUACGUAUACUGUAGGUGUGCACACCUACUAACGGUGCAUAGAUAACUUCACCUCAUGUAUAAAUGACUACAAUAAAUGUACUGAAGAUAGAAUUGCAUAAAUAGCAAAAAUUCUAGUGCAUAGUCACCUAAAUCAUCAUGUCAAACUAAGACCAGAAGAAAGAGAGCACAUUUUGGCGGAAAACCAGAAGCCUUCAUGCAAACUGUUGGGACAAAUAUUACAUCAUAAAACACAACUUUUGGCUGGGCUAAAACACGUCAUCAUCAUCUGACGUAACUUCCCCUGUGAAAAGGAAGGAAAC